CCUACGGGAGGCUGCAGUGGGGAAUAUUGGACAAUGGGCGAAAGCCUGAUCCAGCCAUGCCGCGUGUGUGAAGAAGGCCUUCGGGUUGUAAAGCACUUUCAGUGGGGAAGAAAGCCUUGGGGCUAAUACCCUCGAGGAAGGACAUCACCCACAGAAGAAGCACCGGCUAACUCCGUGCCAGCAGCCGCGGUAAUACGGAGGGUGCGAGCGUUAAGCGGAAUUACUGGGCGUAAAGCGCGCGUAGGCGGUCUGAUAAGCCGGUUGUGAAAGCCCCGGGCUCAACCUGGGAACGGCAUCCGGAACUGUCAGGCUAGAGUGCAGGAGAGGAAGGUAGAAUUCCCGGUGUAGCGGUGAAAUGCGUAGAGAUCGGGAGGAAUACCAGUGGCGAAGGCGGCCUUCUGGACUGACACUGACGCUGAGGUGCGAAAGCGUGGGUAGCAAACAGGAUUAGAUACCCGUGUAGUC
rnacentral:rRNA from 1 species